GCGGGGAAGCAUGGACACUAGUUCCAUGAUACUGGCUGAGUUUGCAAUAGCAGGUGGAACCUUAACUAUUGAGGGAGUUUGCAGAUACCUCAGGAUUCGUGACAAUGCCUUUAAAGAUCCAAGAGAUGUUCAGCUACUAGGAACUGCUAGCAAGCAUAGCGCGAAUGACUCCGAGCUCAGACACUCUGCAGCUGAGAGUAGAAACUUAUGGUAUGUGGAGUACAGAUAAGCCAGGGGCAGGCCACGGCACUCAACAUGAAAGCUAGGAGAGUGAAGUUUCAGUGACCACCGCAAGGAAGGAGGCAGACAAGAGUAAGGCACACCUGACUCUUAGGACUAGCAGUCAGAACCAGGAGAAAAGGUUUUAUUGCUAUGCUGGUAGGUAAGAACAGAUUUUACUUACAUCCAUUUAGUUAACCUAAAAUCCAGUUUUCUAUUGCAUUUUCCUUAAUAUAUUGAGCCAAAACUAGUCCAGUUAAGCUGAACUUUGUUUUUCUGGAAAUUGUUUUAAAUUAAUACCCUGUUCUUGUUGGCUCUCAAAUGAAGUAAAUGAGCACAAUAAUUCCAUAUGAAGAUAUUGUUGCCCAUUAUAGUUUUAUUUCUUAUCUUCCUUUGACCCAUUUCAUUAAAACAAUGGCUCAAAGUAAUGCAUUAGAACCCUUUCCCCAAAAUGGUGGGAGGGAGGGAGGGUCACUUUUGGGGGGAGGGGGAUGUAGCUUCAAGAUGGGCCUUGGUCUCAGAAAAGAGCUAGUUCUAAAGGUUGUUUACUUCUUCUAGGGGAGGAAUCUGCUACUGCAAGCUUAUCAGCUGUUAAUUUAAAAAAAAAAAAAAAAAGCACAUAGCUAAAAGGAACUUCCUUGUGAGGACCAAUCUUUAUCUGAGUCACUGUGCAUCAUUCUCAACUGCCUACAGUUGGUUUUAGCUGUUGUACAGCUCUGGUUAAAUCAUUCAGUUUUGUGAAUGGAUUUUUUUUUUUUAAAUAAACUGCGUUUACUUU